rnacentral:rRNA from 1 species
GGGCUCACACAAGCGGUGGAGGAUGUGGCUUAAUUCGAGGCUACGCGAAGAACCUUAUCCUAGUCUUGACAUGCACGGAUUAACUCGGUGAAAGCCGAGCCAGGCCUUCGGGUACAACGUGCACAGGUGCUGCAUGGCUGUCGUCAGCUCGUGUCGUGAGAUGUCGCGUUAAGUCGCUUAACGAGCGAAACCCUUGUCUCUAGUUGCCAUCGAGUAAAGUCGGGGACUCUAGAGAGACCGCCGGCGUUAAGCCGGAGGAAGGUGGGGAUGACGUCAAGUCCUCAUGGCCCUUAUGACUAGGGCUGCACACGUCCUACAAUGGAGCGCACAAAGGGAAGCAAAACCGCGAGGUCGAGCAAAUCCCAAAAAACGCUCCCUAGUUCGGAUUGUAGGCUGCAACUCGCCUACAUG